GCGCUCAUUUCAGCAGCACAUAUACUAAAAUUGGAAUGACACAGACAUUAGCAUGGUACCUGCACAAGGAUGACUAACAAAUGCAUGAAGGGUUCCAUGUUUUU
ensembl:snRNA U6 U6 spliceosomal RNA